ensembl:snoRNA
GCAAUACAGUGAUGACUGCAUAGUUCAGCUGAUGUCCUUUGAUUCAGAGCAUUGUCUUUCGCUCCUAGCUGAUGUAUUGA